AAGGUAGCUUGCUACUGGACCUAGCGGCGGACGGGUGAGUAAUACUUAGGAAUCUGCCUAUUAGUGGGGGACAACGUUCCGAAAGGAGCGCUAAUACCGCAUACGCCCUACGGGGGAAAGCAGGGGAUCUUCGGACCUUGCGCUAAUAGAUGAGCCUAAGUCGGAUUAGCUAGUUGGUGGGGUAAAGGCCUACCAAGGCGACGAUCUGUAGCGGGUUUGAGAGGAUGAUCCGCCACACUGGGACUGAGACACGGCCCAGACUCCUACGGGAGGCAGCAGUGGGGAAUAUUGGACAAUGGGCGCAAGCCUGAUCCAGCCAUGCCGCGUGUGUGAAGAAGGCCUUAUGGUUGUAAAGCACUUUAAGCGAGGAGGAGGCUUACCUAGCUAAUACCUAGGAUAAGUGGACGUUACUCGCAGAAUAAGCACCGGCUAACUCUGUGCCAGCAGCCGCGGUAAUACAGAGGGUGCAAGCGUUAAUCGGAAUUACUGGGCGUAAAGCGCGCGUAGGUGGCCAUUUAAGUCAAAUGUGAAAUCCCCGAGCUUAACUUGGGAAUUGCAUUCGAUACUGGAUGGCUAGAGUAUAGGAGAGGAAGGUAGAA
rnacentral:rRNA from 1 species